UGCAAUUAGUCGAAAAAUAAACUACGACUUUAAAAUGAGAUAGAAGAGCCUUUAAUCCUUCUUUGAAGGUCUUGCUAGCUAGAAAAAGCGCAUUAGUUUAUGUUUGGGUUUCAGAUAUUUGGUUCGGAGUCUUUCCAGUAAAUGCAAACCUAAGUUGUAUGCAGCAGUAAUUUGGUAUUGGAAAAUAUGCUUACCAACUUUCGAUUGUUUGCAAGCACGCG